AUGUGUGCGUGCACGUCAUCUAUUCGCAGCCUCGCGCGUCUUCUUCCAUGGAUCUUCAGGGCCUAUGAUUGUUGGUCCUUUCACCUUUGUGCAUCACCAUCCUAUGGAGCCAUGAGAUCUGAACCAAUGAAUACAGACAACAUUAACUAUGUUUGUGGAUCACCACAUGUUCUAUUGGAACAAGAGAAAAGGAGAAGAAGGGGAUGGAUGAGCAAGGACCAGAAGGACCAGAAGAAGAAGGGCAAGGGAGAUGGGGCGAUGUGCAUGUCCAUGGAGGUGUUGUUGUUGUGGGUUGGUGCUGCUGCUGUUGCAGGGGCAGCAGUGUCUCCAAGCAAACAGGUUGUUGUGUACGUACGACAUAUUUCUGUGCUCCUGGAUGUGCUACAUCACCUCAUCCUCUCAUUGGCCGCCUCGGUGCCCGUGGCGUUCGUGCUCAUCGGCGGGACGGUGCAAGGCCCAACUCCGAUGCAGCGGCGUGGAUGUGCGGUGUAG
rnacentral:rRNA from 1 species